ensembl:processed_transcript Snhg5 small nucleolar RNA host gene 5
AAAGGAGACUAUAAAAGGAGCUGCGGUGAACCGGGCUCGUUCUUUUACGACGGAGCCUAAGAUAUUCUUUGUCUUGUCGGUACUAGAGUCACCGAAAGAGACAUCCUAUUAUAUGCACGUUCACAAGGACAAUGGCGCCAUUGUUCUUCGCGUCUUCAAAGCAGCUACAAGAAGAAACCAAGAUGGAGGGGAGCCCAAAGCAUCUGAGAGAAUUGAUAAAUGAAAGAAACAUGCUUAAAACAUGACCGUUUUAAAGGUGAAUGCUGACCAGUGAGAAAACUAGAUGUGACCAUCCAGAAAAAGCAUAGACAAAAAAAUGCAGUCUUAGUACUGGGAUGUUUGAGAUGGGGUCUAUCUACAUGUCUCUAGCUGUCCCUAUCAGGACAGCAUCUGGUGUGGCCUGCAGAGUUGAUUCCUGUACUUUUUUUUUUUUGUGGGCUGUAUGUAAAUGGAUUGUUUUGACAAUCCAUUCGACAGUGUUCUCUUCUGUGAAGGUCAUAGGUGAGCUGAUUGACAGACACAGCUGUACAGACUGAAUGCAAUCCUGACUAUAAAGCUGCAGUUCAUCAUUAUGAGCUAUUUCCUUAUUCUGGCAGUGAUUGAAAUAAAAUGGGGAGUAUUGAAAUAAAAAACAUUCAAUUGCAAAUA